UGAGUAACCUGCCCUUAACUCUGGGAUAAGCCUGGGAAAUUGGGUCUAAUACCGGAUAUGACUCCUCAUCGCAUGGUGGGGGGUGGAAAGCUUUUUGUGGUUUUGGAUGGACUCGCGGCCUAUCAGCUAGUUGGUGAGGUAAUGGCUCACCAAGGCGACGAUCGGUAGCCGAACUGAGAGGUUGAUCGGCCACAUUGGGACUGAGACACGGCCCAGACUCCUACGGGAGCAG
rnacentral:rRNA from 1 species